GGGGGGGGGGGGGGGGGGGGGGGGGGGGGGGGGGGCGGGGGGGGGGGGCGGGGCGGGGGGCGCAGGGGGGCGUGGCGCGGGGGAGGCGGCCGUGGGGGUCGGGAUGCGCCCCCGAAGGGGGGGCGAAGACCGGGUAAUGUCCGCGGACCAAGGCUCGAUCGCCUUUGGGUGGGCCCGCGUUGGGUUAGCUAGUGGGUAGGGUAAAAGCCUACCAAGGCGACGAUCCAUAGCUGGUCGGAGAGGAUGAUCAACCACACUGGGACUGAGACACGGCCCAGACUCCUACGGGAGGCAGCAGUGGGGAAUAUUGGACAAUGGGCGAAAGCCUGAUCCAGCAAUGCCGCGUGAGUGAUGAAGGCCUUAGGGUUGUAAAGCUCUUUUACCCGGGAUGAUAAUGACAGUACCGGGAGAAUAAGCUCCGGCUAACUCCGUG
rnacentral:rRNA from 1 species